GCAACAUAGCUUCUCUGGGAGGUCACUCUGCAUGGACACUGUCCAGGGGGAUAAAGGAGAACAUAGGAGUCAGUCCAGUGAUGUACAGUGCCUUCCACGCUUUUGGAGAUCAAGCUGGACCUCAAAUCUGCUCCUACAUAUUUCUAUAGCUUUUCAGAGAGUCCUCUGGACAAUUACUGAGGAUACAAACCAUGCAAGAAGAAAAG